AUUGGACUACAAAAAAAGAUUAUGUGUCAAACAAAUAAAAAAAAAAAAGAAGCGUUUAUUGCAGGAAAGGAUGAUUAUACAAGACGUCAAAUAUGAAUAUAAUACUAAAUAAUCAAUCCAGAGACAUACAAAUUAUUGUUAUAGCAAAGCUAAACAAAUUGUGUUGUACAAAAAUUUUUUAUCAUACUAUAUGGAGAGUUAAAACAAAGUUGCAUAGACAAUACUAAACCUCUACCAUAAUAAAUGUUACAUACAUAUACAAAUAUAUUACAUAUGAUAAUUGAUUGAAAAAGAAAUUUGUUAAUACUAAAGUGGCUGACAAUUUUUAUUGCGUAUGUUCAUAUUGAGUCAAAGUCCACUAAUGCAUGUUGCAUAAAAAAUAUAUGAUACAGAGUUGAGAAAACUCCUUAGAAUAAAUACUAAUAUGUGAGAUUAGCAAUGUUGCGUAACCAUAUAGGGUCAUACUAAAAUCUCAACAUAACAACAAGUCAAAUACUUAUAUAUGAGUACAAAGGUACCAUAAAGGAAUUAUUGUUGUAUUUUAUGCCGAAAUAGGCAUGGCUUAUCAAUUACAGUCGCAUAUGAUAUAUUAAGAUAAUGCCAAACAAUUAUGUAUUUUUGUGUUUUGAAGACUUCAAUAAUUCUAUUGUUGUCGCAAAUUUAGCAUAGGAAAUUUUUAUUACAUUGUCAAAGACAUAUUUUUCGUGUCUAAUGUAAGAUUUUCUUUUUGAGAUAAUUUAAUUUUAACAUAAAGACUUAUGUUUUAAUUAUCAAUAAAGGAAUACCAUGUUAAUUGCUAUUUCUUCAAAUUCGCAAUGAUUUUUGUAUAUAAAUGUGCACAUUGAUGAAAUAUCGUAGUAUAAUUAUGAAAAAUAUUAUGUGUAACUUAGAUGUAAAUAAAUAUAAAAUAUAUAAAAAAAAUAACAGGAAGAUACAUAUUGUAACUGACAAAGUGCUAUUCAAAUAGAAGAUUUAAAAAAUGUAUUUCCGAAAAAAACAAAA